CUUUGACAAUAGCUGUCAUUGCGGCAUCACUGCGGUCGCUCGUACGGACAUUGUUGUACUAAAAACAUAAUAAAAUAUGUUUUCCCCCCAUAAUAAUUGUAAACUUCACCUAGACUCUGGAGUAGCAUGUUUGCUUGUGAUAAAAUAGUUAUUUAUAUAAAGAUUACGACAAAGAAAGAAUUAUUGGAAAGUGCGAUAAGAGUGACUCCGGACAAACCAAUCAAUAAAGUAAUUUGGAAGUCCACAUGGCGGAGAAGGCGUGGAGACGGAGUGAUAGCGCCGAUGCGUGCACCAGAAAAACCUGGAUAAUGUAUUGGCAGACGACUGUGCUCUACCGUUCAAAGGACUGCUGCAACAGGCCAAGACCCCUGAUCAAAAAGGAAAAAUCGCACACGAACGUUACCGCAAUGCAGCGAGAAUCAUUUCGUCGGUGUCCCAUAAUGCCACUAUCUGUCCCGUACGGAAACACCAGAACACAGUUCUGGUGGAAUGUCGACGUGUUACAUAAACGGAGACGGAGGUUUUUGGCUGAGCACAAAACCACCAUCAUCCGGUGGUGGCGACGUCCGACGAUCGAUGAGCCGAUGAGGAAUGUGAUGAGCAGUAUAGCGACAUUUGUUUCACACCAUCAAAACUACAGCCGGCUGUUUGAGCAUCCCUCAGUAGUGGAAAAUACUAGCGAAUAGUUUUCCCUUCGAGUGUAUGCUCUCCUCUGCACGGGGACCAAGAUCCUCCCCACCAUCCGGAUGCUUGAUUUGUGUAUGACAUUGAACGUUGAACUAGGAGCGCAUGCUAGAAACCAUUAGCUCGAGAUUGGCAAAGGAAGGUCACAUUUUUCCGCAUUUUUACCCGCCCGAGACAGGUUGAGGAAUCUUUUCGAAGAAUCGCGGUGUAGGGAGGGAAGAGGAAGAGUGAGAGAAAAACACACACAUAAAUCUGUUUUACGAUCGCUUAGCUUCAUUUCGGUUUCAUCAUUUUAUUGCUCAAGUGGGAGAAACUCAGAAGCUUAAGGGAACAUUUUUUUUUUGGUUCCUCUACUAUUUUAAACUGUCUUUUAUAGUUGAGCUUCUGUAGAUGAGUAUCACAUUUUAAAACACAUUGUUCAAAAAAUGACACAAGCAUCAUUUUUCACUCCAUUAUGACAAGUGCGCCAUGUUUGAAUUGUUUCUUUUAUAGGUUUAGUUUGUAUCCGCCCUAAGAUUACUUUUAAUGGACGAAUGUAGUAAUAGGAAAAUGCUCACAAUAGAACAUCAAAACAGGGGGCUCAAAGUUACGUAAAAUGUUGUUGACAUUUACACCCUCACAACAACCAAUCAAAACCGAAUUCGAGAAUUGAACGAAUGAUCGCUUAGUGAUUAAAUCAUGCACGGGAGUCUUUUUAAAUGGUGGCCAGUAUUUCUUCCUCUUAAAUGUAGUGAAUCCCACUUAGUUUCGAAAAACUCUUCAGUUAAUUAUAGCAAUGGUAACGAGACACACCGAUCACACCACAAAGUAUUGAAACGGUUCGUUUAGUUUCCCUAGCGCUAUCCCUGGUUGGGAUAGUUUUGUAAUCACACUAAAUGGGACGCGACCCUCGCGGCUUUGAUGUCGCUCAUUAUCGUCAUAUGUGGCUUACUGUGUAGCUCAACUUAACGAUGCACGUUGAAAACUAAUCAAACUAAUGUGGACCAUUAAUACGGAAAACAUUGGACUACGUUCCCCAUUUUUGUGGCGGUAUGUUAUCAAGACUCAACAUCAUUGGAUGGAAUUUAAAAAUAUCUUUUCACGCGUGCCGAAAAAACGCAUACACUGAAGAGUUCAUAUUUUACCUCACGAUUUUUCAUAUAAAUCGCCCGUAACCGACCACCGUUGGAAUGCGAUCAACGCUCGCAGGAAUGGACCGAAAGCGAUUAACAUAUGUUUGUUUUUUUUUCCUCCACGUUCCACGUUCAUUGACCGUGGCGAGUUUUGGAAAAAAGGAGUGAGAGAGGAACAAAAAAUGAAUGUCUAAAAUAGGGUCAUUUUAUCGAAUUUUGUAAUAAGAAAGGAAAGAGAACAUCACACUCAUUAGUUAUUUUUGGAGAAUUUUAAACCCAGGCCGUAUAAUUAACAAAAACGCAAAACUUGAUGGAGGCGCCUGGUAUUUUGUAAAAACCACGUGGCGCUAAGGAUCAAUAAAGAAAUCAAAGGGAAGGUCAAGCAGAUUACAUUAAAAAAAAACACACCAAAGAAAUUCCAAUUUAAUCUAAAACGUAAUAUUAUCCCCCAUCAAAACUUCAAUCGAACCAAAAGAAAAAAAGAAAGAAACAGGUUAUUACGCAUUUCUGUAAUAAACAAAACCUGUUCAACCAGAGGAUGUUUGCUUUGUUUGGCAUUUUGGGCAUAAAAGAUCACUGGUUCCAAAGUUUCCAAAAAAAAAACACCUCACACCGGAUGUUGACCGUGGACGUAACGCUCAUUAAAAGUUGUGUAAAUAAAUCAAACAUCGCGAUAAUGGUCACUAACUCAUCCGGUUGGACAGUCCCACCGAAACCGAUUCACGGUCUUUUGGGCAUAUUUCACCCGCACGUUUAACGGUUCCUCUACUGCUCCCACCAUUUGGUUUCGGUGUGUCCUUGAACGCUUCGUAUGCCGUUGUUCUUAUGCCGCUUGCGAAUGUGUUUUUGCAAAAAAAGAAAACGGUGAAACCGAACCCAUCAUCAUCCGUCAUCGGUGAGCAACAUCUAACAUCUGUUUGGUACCGCCACAAAUCCCCCUCCCCUUGUAGUGCAGGCAGAAAAUGCAAAAUUCUUACGAUCUUUAGCACCAUCUUGGAGCGGAGGUGGGAAGCGGCAAAAAAUUAACCGAAUGUGAUGUGAUCGAACCAGUGAAGCAAAAAAUUAGAAAAAUACCACCAACUACACCGCAACGAAACCGUAUGGUUUUUCUAAAAUGUUGCCUGGUGCCACAACGGUUCUGUAUUCGUUGCAUUACGGUCGAAUUCAUUGCCAAGGUUUUGACCGUUUCAGCUGUGUGUACCGAGGGCCAAAAAAAAACCUGUCUCGUUGUCCCGCUCGGUUUCGCGAGUUCCGUUUUAGUCGCAAAAAUAAUUUACGUUCAUUCUUUAACGAAAUGCGAAUAGAAAACGACCGAUGCAAACACGUUCGUUCGUAUUGUCACAAGCGAAAAGUCCUUUUUCUUUCCCGGAUGCCGGAUAUGAACAGUGAACACUGUUGUAUUUCGCUCGGCAGCAGGGAUAGUUUCGGUCGGAAAUGUAUUCCAAUUUUAUGAGGAAUGUUUAACCGACGUUUUGUGCACCACCACCACCACCAGCCGGAUUUUGCCCUUUACCCUUGAUUUUGGGCGGAUCGCCACAACCGACACGGCGUGCUACGUGCCAUCUACGGCAACAUGAGACCAUGAACUCGGCUCGUGAUUUUUCGUGCACCGCAAAUGUAAACAACAUCAUCACUACCAUGCCCCCAUCAUGACGAUUGGGAUGUAACGAUCACCAUUCGUUUACAUUUUUCCCACCACGAGCACGAGUGGAAAAGUAGCUUUAAAUGUAUUGUUUUUAUCAUAAGGUACAGCAAAAAAAAAAGGUACGCUAAAUAGUUGGCAAAUGAUUCGAUUAUAACAGCUUUAUUAAAACACAAACUUUCUUACAUUUAUCAUCUUUAAAACAAAUAAUUCCACAAACUCUUCAACUCACACACCAAACCACAAGUUCAUGAAUGAAUCUACUGUCCCUGAAUGAUACGAAAAGGUUCCGUGUUACCCGAUGCGAUUCUGGUUUUCCCGUACCAAAAAGUUGGCAACGUACGUCCACAGCGCGCAACAGGGUCAAGCGAAUGGGUGAAGAAUUUAAAUGUUUGAUUCAACUCAAUCCCUGCACGAUCGUCAUUACGCUUCCUGUGGGAUGAUUUGUUUACAUGCCUAAGGAUGUAUCGUGUACGUGCCCCAAAAGAAAACACACACACACGCACACAGGGAAACCGAUUUUCCUGCGCUUCAAACGCAUUGCCGGAAAUGUCGCUUUGCAUUGGUGUUUCAUUUCAAAGCGACAGCAAAAAAGAAAAGCUGCUACUUGUUGGGAAAAUGUUCACAAAUCAUUUCUCUGCGCCAUGUUAAUUGAAAUAAUGUGUGAUCUGGUUUUUUGGGCGAGAAGGAAAUUGUACGAUUCAACUUUACCGAUAAUAAAUCUUUUUACCUAAAGCUUAAACUUAAUGCACAUGAAUCUGUGGAAUCUGUGGACAAGGUCGUCUAUAAAGAAAUAUUUGAAACAUUCCUGAAAUUAAUGCGUUAGAAUAAU